CCUACGGGAGGCAGCAGUGAGGAAUAUUGGUCAAUGGCCGGAAGGCUGAACCAGCCAUGCCGCGUGAAGGUCAGUGCCCUAUGGGCGUUAAACUUCUUUUGUGCGGGAGCAAUAAUGGUCACGUGUGGCCAGACGAGAGUACCGUACGAAUAAGCAUCGGCUAACCGCGUGCAAGCAGCCGCGGUAAUACGGGGGAUGCAAGCGUUAUCCGGAUUUUUUGGGUUUAAAGGGUGCGUAGGCUGGGAGGUAAGGUAGCGGUGAAAUGCCCCCGCUCAACGGGGUGAAGUGAUAUUGAUACUGCCUGGCUGGAAUGCGGAUGCCGUAGGAGGAAUGUGUGGUGUAGCGGUGAAAUGCAUAGAUAUCACACGGAACACCGAUUGCGAAGGCAUCUCACGAAUCCGCGAUUGACGCUGAUGCACGAAAGCGUGGGUAUCAAACAGGAUUAGAUACCCGAGUAGUC
rnacentral:rRNA from 1 species